rnacentral:rRNA from 1 species
GACGAACGCUGGCGGCGUGCUUAACACAUGCAAGUCGAGCGGUAAGGCCCUUUCGGGGGUACGACGAGCGGCGAACGGGUGAGUAACACGUGGGUGACCUGCCCUCAGCUCUGGGAUAAGCCUGGGAAACCGGGUCUAAUACCGGAUAUGACUCCAUGACGCAUGUUGUGGGGUGGAAAGCCUUGUGCGGCUGAGGAUGGGCCCGCGGCCUAUCAGCUUGUUGGUGGGGUGAUGGCCUACCAAGGCGACGACGGGUAGCCGGCCUGAGAGGGCGACCGGCCACACUGGGACUGAGACACGGCCCAGACUCCUACGGGAGGCAGCAGUGGGGAAUCUUGCGCAAUGGGCGAAAGCCUGACGCAGCGACGCCGCGUGAGGGAUGACGGCUGU